AACAAAGGAGGUCACUCAUCAGGAGUAAAACAGGUGGUUUCAAAGCUCCAAUAAUCAAUACUUGUAUAUUGACAAUGGAUCAGCUGACUGUAAUGGUGAAGUGUUGUGUGGUCGUGAUGAACCCACAGUAAACUGUUGAAACACCACCUGCUCAGGUACACUGAACUAAAACAAUAUCAGCUGAUUAAUAAUAAGUGAUGAACAUGUCAGUCCAUGUGUAGACAAUAACAAAGCUGUGUGUAUGAGAGUGAUGUAAUGUCUAUGUUUCCAUGGUGAAAGAGGAAGUGCUGCUCUGACCCCCCUCCUCCUUUCAGGGUGGAGCCUGCUGGAGUCCGAUGGUUGAGACCAGGUCUGAGGAAGUAUUCCUGUGAACUCACAAUUGACGCAAACACAGUGAACAGAAAGAUCAAACUGUCUGACAACAACAGGAAGGUGACACAUGUGAAGGAGGAUCAGUCAUAUCCUGAUCAUCCAGACAGAUUUGACCCCUGUCCUCAGCUGCUGUGUAGAACUGGUCUGACUGGUUGCUGUUACUGGGAGGUCGAGUGGAGAGGAGGGGUUUCUAUAUCAGUGAGUUACAGAGGAAUCAGGAGGAGAGGAGACAGAGCUCACUGUGGGUUUGGAGAGAAUGAUCAGUCCUGGAGUCUGACCUGCUCUGAUGGUGGUUACAUUGUCUGGUACAAUAACACAGCAACAUUCAUCUCCUCCUCCUCCUCCUCCUCCUCCGGUAGAGUAGCAGUGUAUCUGGACUAUCCUGCUGGCACUCUGUCCUUCUUCACAGUCUCCUCUGACACACUGAUCCACCUCCACACCUUCAACACCACAUUCACUGAACCUCUUUAUCCUGGGUUUUGGCUCUGGUCACCUGAUUCCUCAGUGUCUCUGUGUUCUCUGUAGGAGGGAGAGUCUCCUCCUGUUAGAGAAACUUUCUCACUGCUGAACUGAUAGUUCAGUCUGUACAGGAUCACACACAGAUGAUGGUAGUUCAGAGAAUGUGUGUAGGAUGUGAGUUUGUCCUGAGGGUGGCGCUAAAGAAAACACUCUGGACUCCACAGAUGAUUCGUUUUCUGCUCGACUGUUUUUAUUGAUGAUUUUUGUGUAAACUUUUAAUUUCUUUUCAUUCUCCCUCCAAAGUUUUCCUCCAGUGGUCAGAGCGAGUAACUGCAGCUCUCUCCAUACAACACUGUUCAUAUUCAUAUACACAACUGCAUACUAGCAUUUCCUAUGAAUCCUUUCAGAAUAAAGUGUUUGAAUUCC